CGCGGUGUGGUGCGGUGAGAAGGGAGACUGCGCUAGACCAGGCGAUGUCUUAGGGACCGGAGAGGGGUGAGGCCCACGGCGGUCCUGGGGAGCGGCGCACGCAGAGCUUGUAGCCAGUGAACAGGAAGUAUUGGCGAGAGAGACUGAGAAACCCAAGAGAGUGUGGGGUGAGGAAAAGGUCAAGGAAGCCCCAGACUUCCAGUUAGAUGGAAGACAGUCCAGUUUGGUGCAGAUACAUCCCAGGAAAUAAAGACGACCCCACAAACACCUUCAAGUUCACUUAUAAGGGUCUCCUCUCUGUCAGGUGCCCCAUUUGGUAUGGACAGGAAGCGUGACACCCAAGGCUGGUGCAUCAAAUCUAUUUCUGUGGGUUUUGCUAAAACCAUGGAGUGAAUGAUUGAGAAAUUUAGCUCACUGAGAUGCCUGGAUGGACUUCAUGUUUUCUAUACAGCUCUCUCUGGUUUCAAAGGAGAUUCUCAGUACCAAAAAGAAGAAAAUGUGAAGCUAAAUGAAAGAGGUUACACAGAUUCAUAGCAUCUAUUAACCAAAUAUUCCCAGUGUUUCUCAGAGGUAAGAGCUGCUUUGUGGAUGAAGCCAUGAUGGGACACCAAAUGCAUCAUCUAGAAGAUGGAGUGAGACAGACCUUUCAACAAUCUGUCACCAUUAAAGUGAAAACAGUCUGAAUGCAAGACAAUGGUGGCAGAGGGGAGGACUGAUGGUACCUGUAAGUCCCUGGGAGCAUGAGUUUUAGCUGUUUCUACUCUUGGAGAUCAACA